UUACGGCCAUAUCACAUUGAAAUACAUGUUCUCGUACAAUCAUUGAAGUUAAGCAACACCGAGCCUGGUCAGUACUUAGAUGGGUGACUACUUGGGUG